AGCCCCAUUCUACAUGAUAAUGGGCACAGUUGAUCAUGGAGUCCAAAAAUUAUUAAUGUUGCUAAAUUGAGACACAAGUUAUGCAUCCAUCACAGUAUGUAUUGCAGCGGUGGCAAUGAGACUUGUAAUAUUU
rnacentral:snoRNA from 1 species